GGAAUAUCUCAGUCAGUAGAGUAUAAGACUCUUAUUCUCAGGGUUGUGGGUUUGAGCCCCGCUUUGGACA